UACGUAGGGGGCAAGCGUUAUCCGGAUUUACUGGGUGUAAAGGGAGCGUAGACGGCGCAGCAAGUCUGAUGUGAAAGGCAGGGGCUUAACCCCUGGACUGCAUUGGAAACUGCUGCGCUUGAGUGCCGGAGGGGUAAGCGGAAUUCCUAGUGUAGCGGUGAAAUGCGUAGAUAUUAGGAGGAACACCAGUGGCGAAGGCGGCUUACUGGACGGUAACUGACGUUGAGGCUCGAAAGCGUGGGGAGCAAACAGG
rnacentral:rRNA from 1 species